UAGGGAAUCUUCCGCAAUGGACGAAAGUCUGACGGAGCAACGCCGCGUGAGUGAAGAAGGAUUUCGGUUCGUAAAACUCUGUUGUUAGGGAAGAAAAAAUGUAUAGUAACUAUAUACAAAAGAGACGGUACCUAACCAGAAAGCCACGGCUAACUACGUGCCAGCAGCCGCGGUAAUACGUAGGUGGCAAGCGUUGUCCGGAAUUAUUGGGCGUAAAGCGCGCGUAGGUGGUUUAGAAAGUCUGAUGUGAAAGCCCACGGCUCAACCGUGGUGGGUCAUUGGAAACUAAUAAACUUGAGUGCAGGAGAGAAAAGUGGAAUUCCUAGUGUAGCGGUGAAAUGCGUAGAGAUUAGGAGGAACACCGGUGGCGAAAGCGGCUUUUUGGCCUGCAACUGACACUGAGGCGCGAAAGCGUGGGGAGCAAACAGG
rnacentral:rRNA from 1 species